rnacentral:rRNA from 1 species
UUUAAAGAGAGUUUGAUCCUGGCUCAGGACGAACGCUGGCGGCGUGCCUAAUACAUGCAAGUCGAACGAACGGAGGAAGAGCUUGCUCUUCCAAAGUUAGUGGCGGACGGGUGAGUAACACGUGGGCAACCUGCCUGUAAGUUGGGGAUAACUCCGGGAAACCGGGGCUAAUACCGAAUGAUAAAGUGUGGCGCAUGCCAYGCUUUUGAAAGAUGGUUUCGGCUAUCGCUUACAGAUGGGCCCGCGGUGCAUUAGCUAGUUGGUAGGGUAAUGGC